rnacentral:rRNA from 1 species
UACGAAGGGGGGCUAGCGUUGCUCGGAAUCACUGGGCGUAAAGGGUGCGUAGGCGGGUCUUUUAAGUCAGGGGUGAAAUCCUGGAGCUCAACUCCAGAACUGCCUUUGAUACUGAGGAUCUUGAGUUCGGGAGAGGUGAGUGGAACUGCGAGUGUAGAGGUGAAAUUCGUAGAUAUUCGCAAGAACACCAGUGGCGAAGGCGGCUCACUGGCCCGAUACUGACGCUGAGGCACGAAGCGUGGGAGCAAACAGG